CACUUAAUAUACCAAUAUGUGUAUAAGAAGUCACGUUUCUUUUAUACCGCAGUAUUAGUGAUGUUAACUUGCGUUCUCUUUAAUAUUCCUCCCCAUUAUGUUGCAAUCUCUCUUUUUUCUAGAAUCUGGUUCUGGUAGAAAACAACAUUUUGGCCAAUAAAUGCCUCCAAAACUUACCGAGAAGCCAAAAUAAUUUUCUUAUGUUUUCAAACCAAGAAUUCCAUCAAAAUUGGUUAUAUUUGAAUGAUCCUUAAAAUAUAAAGAACACGAGAAUUUAGGGCAUGACUGCAGUGCUCUAAAUAAUCAAAUCUUGAUGUUCUUCACAAAUUCAUUGUGUCUUUUCAUUAAAUAUUAAAUGAACAGACGAUGUUCCUUUUUUCUUUAUCUGUUGAGAAUGUUGAAGUUUAUGAUUCUGUUAUCUGUUUCAUGUUUUAUUAUUUAAACGCAAUAAAUUAUUUAAAUAACAAAAGGAGCUUUUUUUUCUGAAAUAUAUAUCAAUACAAGGAUUAGUAGACAUUCCUCUUAUUUCUGGCUUGUUGGGCUCGGUGUUCCUGUAUUACGUUGACGGUGGGUUUUCCACAUCUCGAGAUCGGUGGCGUGUUUAUUGUCCGGGCCACCAGUCCCCCCCAUCCGCACCGAUGACCCUACUGCUCACUGAAGUCUGAUCCUGGUGCUCCACGUUUGAAGGACAUACUUUUUGGAAACUAUGGAGGACUCCUUUAACCAUACUGAUGGACAAUGGCGCUACAGAGAACCUAUGAUGUCAUAUACCAGCUCUCCACCUUUUAAAGAUGUGUGGCGCCAGGUGGACGUGAACAAUGGAGCACUGGCCUCCAUAGCGAGUUGGGGAGAUCAAUGAGCUCCCUUUUCUCCGGUUCGGUAAACGGUGGUGCUACAAGGAGCCUGAUCACCCAAGAAGGACCACCACCUGUCGCCCUUCGCCUAGUUGACCAAGGAGGAAAAAUAACACUUCAGGUGACAUCACAUAGACUUUGACCCGUUUUUUAUGGUGUAUAAAUGUUUUUCAUUAUAUGUCUGGGGAAUAGUAAUGAGUACGAAAUACUCUUAUGCCAAUGACUAAGUCCAGCCCUUGGACGAAACGUGUCAGAAGUAACUACCACCUGGCUCAGAGACUCUUGCUUUGUGUCCUGGCAUUCAAUAUCUUCAAUAUUUACCUUUACUGCAAAUAAAAUGUAUAGUGAUUUUCAUGCCCAGUAGGGAUUUUUCUCUUUAUUUGCAAUGUAACGGUUUAAGGCACCUAACCGAGGAGGCUUAUCACUUACUUCUGUGGACUUCUGCGUUAAAUAUGGGAAUUUUCUAGCCAAAAACGUGAUCAUAAGGACACAAGGAACGUCGAUCUCACAUGGGAAAUGGCUUUCGUCUAUCUUAAGACGGUUUAUCAAUUAUAUGUUAGAGGAAAAGUCUGUCCUUUUGCGAAGCUCCAUGAGAUACAUGACCGUCAUGUGUUAGAUAUAAUGUCGCGUUCACUAAGUGGUUUAUGUAAAGUCUGCCUGCUGGAAUCCAGCAGUAAUCAGAUUAUAAAGCUUUGUGACCAACUGGGAAUGACUUAGAUUAAUAUAACAUGCUCAUCGGCAUCAUACGUAGCAUCUUACAUGACAAUCUACUCGUAUGUAUGUUUUUCUAUCAAUGCAGCCACAAUUUUAUUACUAUUAAAUAUUUUUAACCCACAA